AAACACUGAAGCACGUUCUUCUAUCCUGUUCAACGACGUGUUCUUAGUGUGAUACCUGUGGUCCUGCAUCUGUUAUGAUUAGUUUAAACCCUGCACAUCGGAGGUGUACAUGUGAAGAUGGAGUGGGCUGACAAAAUGACUCACGGUGGUCCAAAAUGGGCUAAUUUAGCUUUGGUGGGAAUCUUGUGAAGCUGGAAGAGGAUGAGCAGCAUUUUCAACUUAAAAGUGAAAUUGAAAGGCUAAACCCAAGAGAUUUACACUAUGGAAAGAUGAAAUGUCCAUCAGCCAUGAUAUGAAGGGUGGCCAGUGUGGUGACUGCUGCAGCUUAAAGAAUCUGCCGCGUAAACCCCAUUAGACUCGAAUGGACAAGGACUGCUUUGCACCCCUGCAGUGAAGUAAUGCUGUAUAUCAAGAGUGCUGGAGGCUUGAGGAUGUUGAUUCUAUUGAAAAUGUCUGUAGAGUUGUCAUAUCUA